UGAGCUACUGCCUUCCCAGCAGCCAC
rnacentral:piRNA from 1 species